rnacentral:rRNA from 1 species
AGAGUUUGAUCAUGGCUCAGGAUGAACGCUGGCGGCGUGCCUUAUGCAUGCAAGUCGUACGGGUCUUGCGGUUUCGGCCGUAAGACUAGUGGCGAACGGGUGAGUAACACGUAUGUAACCUGUCCGAACGCGGGGGAUAACUCGCCGAAAGGCGGACUAAUACCGCAUGUGGUCGCUGGUGAGAAACCAGUGGACAAAAGCCGCAAGGCGCGUUCGGAGGGGCGUGCGGCCGAUUAGCUAGUUGGUGAGGUAACGGCCCACCAAGGCGACGAUCGGUAGCUGGUCUGAGAGGACGAUCAGCCACACGGGGACUGAGACACGGCCCCGACUCCUACGGGAGGCAGCAGCAAGGAAUCUUGCGCAAUGGGCGAAAGCCUGACGCAGCAACGCCGCGUGGGGGAUGAAGGCCUUCGGGUCGUAAACCCCUUUUGCUGGGGAAGUAACUGACGUACCCAGCGAUAG